CAGCCUCCCAAAGUGCUGGGAUUACAGGCAUGAGCCACCGUGUCCAGCCUGGCUUCUCCUUUCAACUUCUGCCAUGCUUGUAAGCUUCCUGAGGCUUCCCGCAGAAGCUCAGUAGAUGUUGGUGUCAUACCUGUGCAGCCUGCAGAAACCAAGAUAACAGGUGUUCAGUGCCCCAAAAGGUGUUUCUUGCUUUGUCCUGUGACUGUGGACCACCUCUUCCCUGGGCAAUCCAGAGAGCUCUUCCACCAUCCAACAGCUGCAACCACACUGGCUCCAAAAAAGUCUGAACCCAACUUUUGAAGAGGGAUGCACCUUCCAUGUCUGCCUCUCCUUGGGAGAGAAGAUGAAAUAUUUCCAUCUUCACUGACAAGGACUUCUGGCAAUUUGGAUGAAUGAUGCCAAGAGAAGAAAGCAA
rnacentral:lncRNA from 1 species